GUUUUGGAGCAGCUAGAGCUCCUAACACUGAGGAGGAGAACUUUGAGGACGCAGAUGAUGAGAGUCAGGAGGACUCCGAUGACAGCAUGGGCUGAGUGCAGACAUCUACUGAUGGAUGUCAAUAGACAGGACUUAGUUUUUCUUUCUUGUACUUGUAUUUUCUUUCUUUUAUUUGUUUUUAUUUUGUUUCUUUUUAAAUUCAUAGAAUAGGUCGAAGUUUUAUUUUUUUUGGUGUGUACUCUUGGCUUUACUGUUUGCUUUGAAAAUGUUGGACCACCUGAUGUGCUUGAUGAAUCUACUUGAUGAUUAUUUGAUGUGGAAGAGAAGUGAGUAGUAAUGUAUGUUGAUAUUUUGUGAAAUAGAUCUGUAAUGAAUCUAUGAUUGUGGUCAUGAUGCUAGGCAUGGUGUAUGAAUGAGUUUUGUGUGAGGAAGCAUG
rnacentral:lncRNA from 1 species